rnacentral:rRNA from 1 species
CCUACGGGAGGCAGCAGUAGGGAAUCUUCGGCAAUGGACGAAAGUCUGACCGAGCAACGCCGCGUGAGUGAAGAAGGUUUUCGGAUCGUAAAACUCUGUUGUUAGAGAAGAACGUUACGGAGAGUGGAAAAUUACUUAAGUGACGGUAUCUAACCAGAAAGGGACGGCUAAGUACGUGCCAGCAGCCGCGUUGAUACGUAGGUACCAAGCGGUGUCCGGAUUUAUUGGGCGAAAAGCUAGCGAAGGUGGUUUAGUAGGUCUGGUGGAAAAGGCGGUGGCUCAACCAGUGUAUGCAUUGGAAACUGGUAGACGUGAGUGCAGGAGAGGAGGGUGGAAUUCCAUGUGUAGCGGUGAAAUGCGUAGAUAUAUGGAGGAACACCGGCGGCGAAAGCGGCUCUCUGGCCUGUAACUGACACUGAGGCUCGAGAGCGUGGGGAGCAAACAGGAUUAGAUACCCUAGUAGUC